GCCGGGGCCUCAGGGCUCCACACCGCCCAGGAGGACGCGGCCCGGCAGCGGCGCGCCCUGCGGGAGCGGCUGCAGCAAGUGCUCCGGGAGCGGACCUGGCGGCUGCGGGCCCUCGGGGCCAGGAACACCCAGAACUUCCAGCGGCUCCUGUGGCCCCCGGGCGCUGAGGAGCCUUUGCCUGGAGAGCAGCGCUCACCCUUCCCGGCCCCCUCCAGUCACUGCUGAAUCCUCACGGGGUGAUUAAAGAGAUGGAGACCGAGGAAAAGGCGAGCCACGACCCGGCAGCAAGGGCCAUCAGAGGAAGUUCCAAAAAAGGCCCAGAACUCUGCCUCAGCGCCUGGGAGGCCGGACACACAGACACACACAGCGGCUUCAGCCCCACCAGGAGGCGUGUUAUUCCUUCUCCCGGUCCCCCAAGUCCCCUGGCUGGCCAACGUCAGAGAGCCAGGUCCCGAGGGUCAAGCAGCGCGAAGGCCCCAUUCUUUCGGAAGAAGGAUUCGAUGCGGCACAUCUUACAGGACACCAGUUCUUGCUUCGCUGGGGGGCCUGGGAAAAGAUGUCAGAGGCCAGGAAUGGAUCCUGGGAAAGGAACUUGCGGAGCCCGGGAGCCCCACAAGCUGCCUGUAUUGUAUCCACUUGUAAGUGUGACGGAAUAAAAAGUGCUCCUGAGGAACGUGGGCUGUGGGCAGACAGAGCCGACCGGGGGUCCAGACCAGCAGUGAUGGCAGAACUGGCCCAUCCGCCAAGUGUCAUCUUUUCCCCCACCUCAGGCUCCUCCACUGCUUGCCAUGGGGACGGACAGAGCCGGCCAUCUCUGAAAGAGAGAGGGCUGCCUUCCACCUCCUGCUCUCCUGGGACUUGCUUCCUGCUUUGGGGGAAAUACCUCUUUCCCUUCCCUUUAGGGCCUUGGGGAAAGUGGCGAGAAUCUUUAGGCAAAAUGUCAGCUGUGUUUAUCCCCAGCCAUCCACCGUUUGCCCAGGCCCUCAACCCUGUGGAGAAACACCCAUAAGCCCCUGAGUAGUCUCACUUGCAGUCCAUGACCACAAACAGUAAAGGGACACAGGAUCACCCAGCAGUCCUGCAGCAUUCCCGGGCACGCUCCCUUUCCUACGCCAUUGAGCUCUUCAUCUCCAGCUAUACCACUGCCUCCCUCCUGUCCUCCCUGAGGAUGAUCUGGACUCUCAGCCUUGCAGAUAAAGCAGACUCAGCCCAAGUGGACAGCCUUCCCACCAACACUGUCUCCCUACCGCUCUCUGUGCCCCCCUGCCUCUGUCAGAUUCCAGCAUCUGGAGUUUCCUGGGUGGGCUCACCCAGCCUCGGGCUUUAAGUAACAUCUACAUCUCCGUGGCUCCCAAACUGACAUCUUCAGCUCUGACAUCACUCCAGCGGGGGAUCUCCGUACACAGCCACCUCACUGGCACCUCCGGCAUGGCCAGGGCUCACCUGUCCUCACACGCCCUCCAGCCCUGCUCCCCUCCAUCUUCCUUGUCCAGGCACCUGAGCCAAACACUUGUGCUUUCCCACAGCCUUCUUUCCCCUUCUGUCAUCCCAUCCAUCCAUAGGCUUCAUUGAUUCCUCUUCCAAAGCAUAGCCUGAAUCUACCACGGCUCUCCUGCUAAUCACCCUAGCCCAAGCCAUCGUCCUCUCCUGCCAAGAGAACUCAAAAUAGAUGCAGAUCUCACUGGCCAGUUGAUUCUUUCCCUGAAAAAGCCAUUACUUAUGGAAUAGUUAGUACCCUGUCAGUAUUGUUCACCUGCUUAAAACCCUCCAUGGCUUCUUCUCCCACUUGGAAUAAAAUCCAAAUUCCUCUGUC